rnacentral:rRNA from 1 species
AUUGAACGCUGGCGGCAGGCCUAACACAUGCAAGUCGAGCGAGCGGCGGACGGGUGAGUAAUGUCUGGGAAACUGCCUGAUGGAGGGGGAUAACUACUGGAAACGGCAGCUAAUACCGCAUCCCUCAGAUGUGCCCACUUGGGAUUAGGUAGUAGGUGGGGUAAUGGCUCACCUAGGCGACGAUCCCUAGCUGGUCUGAGAGGAUGACCAGCAACAUUGGAACGGAGAAACGGUCCAGACUCCUACGGGAGGCAGCAGUGGGGAAUAUUGCAAAAUGGGCGCAAGCCUGAUGCAGCCAUGCCGCGUGUGUGAAGAAGGCCUUCGGGUGGUAAAGCACUUUCAGCGGGGAGGCGUUACCCGCAGAAGAAGCACCGGCUAACUCCGUGCCAGCAGCCGCGGUAAUUC